rnacentral:rRNA from 1 species
UGGGGAAUCUUGGUCAAUGGGCGCAAGCCUGAACCAGCGAUGCCGCGUGAGUGAUGAAGGCCUUCGGGUUGUAAAGCUCUGUGGGGAGGGACGAAAGAAUCGGUUCUAACAGGACCGAAGUUGACGGUACCUCCUUAGCAAGCACCGGCUAACUCUGUGCCAGCAGCCGCGGUAAGACAGAGGGUGCAAACGUUGCUCGGAAUCACUGGGCGUAAAGGGCGUGUAGGCGGGUAGGCAAGUCGGGCGUGAAAUCCCUGAGCUCAACUCAGGAACUGCACUCGAAACUGCUUAUCUUGAGUGCCGGAGAGGAAAGCGGAAUACCUGGUGUAGAGGUGAAAUUCGUAGAUAUCAGGUGGAACACCAGUGGCGAAGGCGGCUUUCUGGACGGUAACUGACGCUGAGACGCGAAAGCGUGGGGAGCAAACA